rnacentral:misc_RNA from 1 species
UAAUAAGUGUUUUAUGGCACUUUUUAAAUCCAUAUCCACCUUGUGUGCAAUGUCGGCCGAUCUUUCUUUUUUUGGAAGAUCAGCCAAACAUCAACUUAUUUUUUUAACUCUUUGUCUGAAAAAUAUUAUGAAUAAACAAUUCAAAAUA